GACGAACGCUGGCGGCGUGCCUAAUACAUGCAAGUAGAACGCUGAAGGAGGAGCUUGCUUCUCUGGAUGAGUUGCGAACGGGUGAGUAACGCGUAGGUAACCUGCCUGGUAGCGGGGGAUAACUAUUGGAAACGAUAGCUAAUACCGCAUAAUAGUAGAUGUCGCAUGACAUUUGCUUAAAAGGUGCAAUUGCAUCACUACCAGAUGGACCUGCGUUGUAUUAGCUAGUUGGUGAGGUAACGGCUCACCAAGGCAACGAUACAUAGCCGACCUGCGAGGGUGAUCGGCCACACUGGGACUGAGACACGGCCCAGACUCCUACGGGAGGCAGCAGUAGGGAAUCUUCGGCAAUAGACGGAAGUCUGACCGAGCAACGCCGCGUGAGUGAAGAAGGUUGUCGGAUCGUAAAGCUCUGUUGUAAGAGAAGAACGAGUGUGAGAGUGGAAAGUUCACACUGUGACGGUAUCUUACCAGAAAGGGACGGCUAACUACGUG
rnacentral:rRNA from 1 species